CCCCUUUUCUUCUCUUCGGGCCCCUGGUCCAGCUCCUCCUUUUCCUCCUGCGACUGGAGCAUCCUGACCCGGCCUCACCCCUGCUGGGCCUGAAUGAUGCUAUUCCCCGAGGACAGCGCCACUCAGCUCCCUGUCUGCCAGGGGCGGGCCGGCCGGCCGGGCUGGGCUGUGCGGGGCGGCGUGGCCGUCGUGGGCCACUCCUGGGCCGGGCCGGGCUGGCUUCUAGGCUAGGAGCGGGGGCGUUUAGGAAAAGUGGGCUCAGUGCCAGCCUACCUGGACGCCUCAUCGCUGGGCAAUACCUGGACUAGGCAGCAGCCCGCGGGAGGCGCCCUCUGCGGGCAGUCGUCCCACCCCCUCCGCGCAUAGCCCUCUCGGGGAUCCCUGCGAUCUGAGCCCGCACAAGGGAAACUGAUGCCCAAGGAGGGUGAAUGACUUGUCCAGGGUGGUCCGGUAAGUCAGUGGCUGGGCUGGGACUGGAACCUGGUCUGGAGAGCCCUCCUCCACGUCGAGCACUGGUGAGCCACACUCCAGCCGAGCCUCAGCUUCCUAGUCUGGACAACAGGAGUAAUGAUGCCUGACCUACAAAGUUGUUUUGAGAAUGCGCUUCACAAUAACCACUGGAGGACAGUUGCCUUUGGAGUCGGAGUUCAAGUGCUGAGUCCUGCCCUGAGUUCAAG